rnacentral:rRNA from 1 species
CAGCGACGUUGAAGUGGUUGUGAGGAUGCAAUCUACCCGCUGCUAGACGGAAAGACCCCGUGAACCUUUACUGUAGCUUUGCAUUGGACUUUGAAGUCACUUGUGUAGGAUAGGUGGGAGGCUUUGAAGCAGAGACGCCAGUCUCUGCGGAGCCGUCCUUGAAAUACCACCCUGGUGUCUUUGAGGUUCUAACCCAGACCCGUCAUCCGGGUCGGGGACCGUGCAUGGUGGGCAGUUUGACUGGGGCGGUCUCCUCCCAAAGCGUAACGGAGGAGUUCGAAGGUUACCUAGGUCCGGUCGGAAAUCGGACUGAUAGUGCAAUGGCAAAAGGUAGCUUAACUGCGAGACCGACAAGUCGAGCAGGUGCGAAAGCAGGACAUAGUGAUCCGGUGGUUCUGUAUGGAA